rnacentral:rRNA from 1 species
UACGUAGGGGGCAAGCGUUAUCCGGAUUUACUGGGUGUAAAGGGAGCGUAGGUGGCAGGGCAAGUCAGAUGUGAAAACCCGGGGCUCAACUCCGGGAGUGCAUUUGAAACUGUCCAGCUAGAGUGCAGGAGAGGUAAGCGGAAUUCCUAGUGUAGCGGUGAAAUGCAUAGAUAUUAGGAGGAACACCAGUGGCGAAGGCGGCUUACUGGACUGUAACUGACACUGAGGCUCGAAAGCGUGGGGAGCAAACAGG